AUUAUUAUUAUUAGGAUAUAUAUUUUGGUGAAUAGUAUAUGUAUUUUUUGUUAUAUGAUAUAUCAUUUUUCUAAAAUGAUACAUUUAAGUUAUGUUUUCUAUUGUACUUUUAUUAACGUGACAUAUAAUUUUAUUAGCAUGUUAUAUGUAUAUAUUUAUUUUUAUUUAUUGUUAUUAUAUAUAUAUUUCUAUUGUAAUUUUGUAAGGUAUAUAUUUUUUUUAUAUGGCAUAUAAGUUUUAUUGUGUAGUAUAUCAUUUUAUUUUAGAUCAUGUUUAGUUUUUAUUUUAUUAUAUAUAAAGAUUGUAUAUAAUUUUGUAAGUAUGGUAUAAUUAUUUUAUGGCUAUAUAUAAUUUUGUUAAUUAGUUUGUGCAAUUUUUUUUUAUAUUAUUAUAUUAUUUUAUUUUAUUUUAUUUUUUAUUGUAGGUAUACAUAUUUUGUUGUGUGAUAUAUGUUUGUUUUUGUGUAUAGUAUAUCAUUUAUUUAAAUGAUGUUAGUUUUUAUUUUAUUAUAUAUAAUGAUUAUUUAUAAAUUUUUUCGUAUACUUUUAAUAGUUGUAUAUAUAAUUUUGUUAGCAUAAUUUAUAUAUUCUUUGAGUAUUAAUAUAUUAAGUUUAUCAUUAUUAUAAUUUUUUUUGUGGUAUAUAAUUUAUUACUACAUUAUAUUAAUUUAUAUUGUUAUAUAUAUUUAUGAUCUAAUAUAUUUAUUUAUUUUUGUUACAAUAUAAAACUAAAAAAUUUAUAUCUUAAUUUAUGUAAUAUAUAAUUUUUUUAAAAAAAUAAAAGUUAAUAUGUAGUAAAUAUAUUUUUAUAAUUUUAUUAACUAAUUCAGUAUAUUUAACGAUUUAACUAAUUAAAAAUUUAAAUAUUUCCGUUACUAAAUUUAGAAUCAUUUUACAAUUUAGCUUUAUCUAUAAACCUUUAUAAAAAGGAGAAUAGUUCAAUUUGGGCUUUUCAUAGUCUAUUUACAAAAAUAACCCUUCUUAAUUAUUUAUUUACCUAUAACUUAAACAACACCUGUUAAUUAUUCAAUGACAAGUGUGGUAAGGUGUUGCAUGCGUGGGCUUUUCAUAACUCAUAUUAAUUAUUUAUUUACUUAUAAUUUUUAAUGAGAUAACACCUGUCAACUAUUCAAUGACAAGUGUGGUAAGUUGUGUUGCAUGUGUGUUUUUUUUUUUUUUUUUUUUUUUUGAAUUGAAAGAACUCAGUUAAAGAUCCUUUUGAUAUCAGGUUUGUUAAGCUCUCUCUCUCUCUUCCUUAUCUUUGCAUCCCCUUUGUGAGCUUCUGCUUUCUGGUUCUGUGAAGUUGGUUGAUUUGGUCUUCAAGGAGGUCGGUAAUGGACUAUGGGAAAUGAUGAAGAGGGAAAGUCUGCUAAAUCCGAGAAAAAUUCUCCGCCUGAAACCCCGUUGCUAGAUGAAUGCUCAAGUGAUGGAGACUGUGCUCUUGGAUUGUAUUGUUUUUCAUGCAUGGAAGGAUUUUCAGGAUCCAAAUGUGUGAGAUUAAAAAUUACAGACAAAUUGAAGCUCCUGAUGCAGCAUAGAUGUUGAAUUUACUGAUUCAUUAGCCUGGCCAACAACAACUGUAUUUGGGGAAAUUGUAGAAACAUUAUUCUCAUGUAAUGUAACAAUACUGAUUGAUACCAAAAUUAAGUGACAGCAUUCCUAAAGAACUUCUUGAACUCCAUGACAACAAAGAGAUAACAGCUUACAUCAAGGCAAUAAAACAAGAUUCAAGUGAAGGAUGGAAAUUCAACAUCACUUCAUUCCUUAAUACAACUCCAGUCUCAAUUGAAGAAUUAAUCUCUAAUGCUUCAACUUCCCAUCCUAAUCCAACUCCACUUUUGACUCUUCUUAAAAAAACUUAAAAUUACAGCUGACAAUGAAAAGAAGAAAUAUGAAGCUACUGAUGAAGAUGAAAAGAACCACAAGGCUUCUAAUGAAAGAUUAGAUGCAGUAGAAAGCUUGGUUGUGCUUCUCUUCUAAAUUGGCUUGCUCUUUUAUUGCUCGUUAUUUUCAAAGUUCUAUGAUGGAAUAUAUAUAUAAAUAGGCCACUUGUUGGAAUACUAUACCAUAGGCUUCCACUUUUGGAAGCUCCAUAGAUGCAAUGAAUACAUAAAUAAAUAGGCCAUAACUUGGGAACACUUUUUAAGUUCCAUUACAACUUAAAAUGGAUAUGUUAGUCGUAACUUUAAAAGCUA